rnacentral:lncRNA from 1 species
UGAAAAAGGGUAGAACACGACAAGAAAAUGAAAUCAAAAAGAAAAUCUAUUUCUGCUUAAGACUGAAUUGCAACAGAUUCAACAUAACGGCGGCUGCUUUUUUUCAAAAGUCGAUGAAAAAGAGGUUGAACAUGAAAA